UUGAUUCUGUUUGAAUUGAUUUCAGCCACCCAACUGGAAAGUUAACCUGGCCCCAAAAAUUCAGAACCACAGAGGAUAGUUGACUGGAGGAAAAAUAGGUGACCGCCUGUUGGCUGAAGCUGAAACAAAUCUUGCUAUAAAUGUUAUUCCAGGUGCAUCUGAAUCCUUUGAAGUUCAAGGGAGAGGAGAGCUACAAUUAGGUAUUUUAAUUGAAAACAUGAGGCGUGAAGGAUUUGAGCUGUCUGUGUCGCCGCCAAGGGUCAUGUAUAAAACUGAGCAUGGUGAAAAGCUUGAGCCUAUAGAGGAAGUGACAAUUGAGGUAUAAGAAGA